rnacentral:rRNA from 1 species
CCUCGUACCUUUUGCAUCAUGAUUUAGCCAGUAACCCUCAAGCAAAGAGUACUUUAGUUUGAUUCCCCGAAACUACGCGAGCUACUCCAAGACAGCCUGUUCCUAGGGCAAACCCGUCUCUGUGGCAAAAGAGUGGGAAGAUCUUUGAGUAGAGGUGACAGACCUAUCGAGCCUAGUUAUAGCUGGUUGCCUAAGAACUGAAUAGGAGUUCAGCCUCUCGGCUUCUCUUCUCCCUCAUAAAACCUCCCCGACACUAAAGAAAGCCUAGAGAGUUAUUCGAAGGGGGUACAGCCCCUUUGAAACAAGACACAACUUUUCUAGAAGGUUAAAGACCACACCUCACCCUAAGGCAAAAUGUUCGAGUGGGCCUGAAAGCAGCCAUCUCCCAGAAAGCGUUAAAGCUCAGACAUACGCCUCAACCUAUAAUUCUGUUUAAACAAUCUUAAACCCCUGACCUUAUUAGGCCUUUCCAUGCCUCCAUGGAAGUGACCCUGCUAAUAUGAGUAAUAAGAAAGACCACGCCUUUCUCCCUGCACAAGUG